rnacentral:misc_RNA from 1 species
GAUGAAGAACGUAGCGAAAUGCGAUAAGUAAUGUGAAUUGCAGAAUUCAGUGAAUCAUCGAAUCUUUGAACGCACAUUGCACCCGCCAGUAUUCUGGCGGGCAUGCCUGUUCGAGCGUCAUUUCAACCCUCAAGCCCAGCUUGGUGUUGGGGAUCGGCACAGGCGCCCUCGGGCGCCCGCCGUCCCCUAAAUCUAGUGGCGGUCCCGCUGCAGCCUCCUCUGCGUAGUAGUUUUCUCCUCGCAAGGGCAGCUCGGUGGCGACCUCGCCGUAAAACCCCCAACUUCUGAAAGGUUGACCUCGAAUCAGGUAGGAAUACCCGCUGAACUUAAGCAUAUCAAUAAGCGGAGGA